rnacentral:rRNA from 1 species
AGUGAACGCUGGCGGCAGGCCUAAUACAUGCAAGUCGAACGGCAGCACAGCAGAGCUUGCUCUGUGGGUGGCGAGUGGCGGACGGGUGAGGAAUACAUGGGAAUCUGCCCAGUCGUGGGGGAUAACGUAGGGAAACUUACGCUAAUACCGCAUGCGCCCUUCGGGGAAAGCCGGGGACCUUCGGGCCUGGCGCGAUUGGA